CAAAUCUUCACAGUACCAAAACACCCGACCCGUUUCUGCAGAUCUUCUCUCAACAAAAAACCUAACAAUGUCGCCAAACAAGAGAACCCUAAUGCCCAAUCCGAAAACCCUCUUUUCCACACAUUAACUGAAAACCCAAAAAGGGUUAAACUCAAAAUCGUGUGGAAUCUCUGAAGGAGCUCUGAACUCGGUGGCUUUCUCACGCCGGUCUCUUUCUCUUUCACCCUCGCCGGAUUUGAAAGCUUUCUCAGACCACCCUCGCCGGAUUCAACCCAAAACUUGGUGCUGGUCUUGGACUUGACCCUUUCUCUCAGCAAAUCAUUGAAUCUUGGCUUCAACAAUCCCACCUCCUUCAGCAAACCACCUUGCCUCUUACCGUUGAUCAAGUACACAUCAAGAAUCCCAUCUUUUUUAACAAAUUGGUUCUUCACAAACCAUAUGAGAAGUACAAAUGCCGUAAGAGACUCUCUGAUUCCUUCAGCUCCGCUCGAAGGGUUAAAAAGAAGCCUUCAUGGGUUCUAGCGGAUGUAUGGGUGGAACUGAAGAGGUAUUGGACCACCGAGAAAUUCAAGAAGCAGAGUGAACUGGGAAAGAAGGCCCGAGCAUCUGAGAAGGGUGGCUCCUUGCAGUGUCUGGGUUCAAGGAGCAUAGGGGAUACGAGAAGACAACUAGAAAAAAAUUGGGGAGGAAGAUGAGUCGUAAUGAGUUCUUCAUGGAGACUCACAUCCGGAAGAAGAAGGCACCGACAAAUCCAACUAGAUGGGUCGAGGACCGGGUGGAGACUACACAUGUAAGUUUCAUAACUACUAAAAAUGUUUAUUAUUUUAUAUAGUUAGUAGUUUUCUAUCUUCUAAAUAAAGGGUCGCUACAAGAUCAAUUUGGAUGAGUACACUCGGAGCUUGCCACCGAAUGAGCAAGGCGAGCGACCGCCCAUUUCAAACGAAGAAGAGGAGAGGAUAUGGUUGGAUAUUGUCGGUGGUCCUUAAAAGGGGAUAGCAUAACGACCUUUCAGAUAAAUCGUUUUGGCGCUACAAGGUUGGAUUGCAAGGUAUAGGGACUUCCGCCUAAGGCGAGGCGAUUGACAGUUCGACUAUAUCGUCUAUGGAACAGAAGAUCGCAAAGCUGACAGCAGAGCUUGAAGAGACCAAGGCUAGAGAAAAGAAGAGAUUUGAUACCCUUCAAGUUCAGCUAGAAUGGAGGGACGAACAAUUUGAUACCCUUCAAGUUCAGCUAGAAAGGAGGACCGAACAAUUUGAUCUCCUUCAAGGUCAGCUGGCCAAUAUUCUUGCUAGUGGUGCUUUCCCCAUUCCCCGAUCUCCUCCUCCUUCCCCACGUGCCGGCAAUGAAGGUCCUAGGACUGAAGAUGGAGAUGAUGCUACAUAAAAAAAACUCAUUGAAUGUUGUGUAUUGUUAAACAGAGUUUUGAACUUGUCAAUAUUUUAUUAUUGUUGGUUAUUUGAAUGAUGAUUAUAUUGUUAUUUUGUUAUUGAAUAUUUUAGUAGUUGUUGUGGUUAUUAGUUGUGGUUGUGGUUA